CUUGAGUUUUAAAAAAACAAAAAAAGGUUCAUAAACAAUGCUGCAGAUUUGUGUGAAGAGACAACAAGAUAGCAUCUGCUGUAGACCUGCUGCUAAGAAGGAGGGUCCACUAACAAUAGCAGCACAAAUGCAGAAAUGGACUCGGUUUCUUGGAGGGCACAAUUACAAGACCAAGAGGAAAACUAAUUAUGAAAAUGCCGUUGGAGCUUCUUGGAGAGAGGUGAAGGAAGGUGUCCGGUGCUGUCAGGGCCACUUCCUGCUGUCACAAAGUCAACUCCUACAACCACCACAGAUGAGGCCCCAGAACCUGAGAUUGUUUCACAGCCACAAGUCUCACCUGCCAAGCAGAGUGAUCCAACCCCCCCCCAACCUCCAGUCAGGGAAGAUAUUAUCCCACAAGACUAAGAAAUCCUCCACAGCAA